AGAAAGAAAGAAAGACAAGGAAGCAACUAAAAAUUCCCCCAAAGAUCUAUGUGGCUUUGUUCCCUGUGAUUUUACAAUGCUACUUCUAAAGUAACCGGAGACUCUCAAGGUCCUUGCCUAAGAAACCAGAGAACUAUAAAGAAGAUUGAAUGAAGCAUCCAGACAUGAAGGGUUUCACAAUUCAGGUAAUGCACAACCAUUUGAGGAAUGCCUCUUAUCUCUUAUCUCACAGUGGUCAAACCACCCUCACCUGUGACCUGUUGUCAUGAGAAGCUCAGACAUUGAGGCCAAGAUCCUCACAGCUAUCCAGAGUCAGUUUCUGUUGCAUGUGAUCAAAAGAACCGUCACUAACAAAGCCUGCAUGUUGGACUUCAGUGCAAAGAAACAUUUCGUAUUUGCAGCAUAAGAAUGUGAAUUUUACCCCCUCCCCCAGAAUAUCACAAAUGAAAUAUUUUCUUAAAAGUUCAUACAAGUCCACUGGUGACUGAAAAAUUCCUCUCUAGCAUGAUCUUCCCCUUCAUCUUCCAGGCUCCUAUCCAACUUCUUACUUGAUUUCUCCAUUUGAAUAUCUAAUAAACAUCUCAAACUUA